UACGGGGGGGGCAAGCGUUGUUCGGAAUUACUGGGCGUAAAGGGCUCGUAGGCGGCCAACUAAGUCAGACGUGAAAUCCCUCGGCUUAACCGGGGAACUGCGUCUGAUACUGGAUGGUUUGAGUUUGGGAGAGGGAUGCGGAAUUCCAGGUGUAGCGGUGAAAUGCGUAGAUAUCUGGAGGAACACCGGUGGCGAAGGCGGCAUCCUGGACCAACACUGACGCUGAGUGAGCGAAAGCCAGGGGAGCAAACGGG
rnacentral:rRNA from 1 species